rnacentral:rRNA from 1 species
ACUCCUACGGGAGGCAGCAGUGGGGAAUAUUGCACAAUGGGCGCAAGCCUGAUGCAGCCAUGCCGCGUGUAUGAAGAAGGCCUUCGGGUUGUAAAGUACUUUCAGCAGUGAGGAAGGCAGGUACGUUAAUAGCGUGCUUGUUUGACGUUAGCUGCAGAAGAAGCACCGGCUAACUCCGUGCCAGCAGCCGCGGUAAUACGGAGGGUGCGAGCGUUAAUCGGAAUUACUGGGCGUAAAGCGCAUGCAGGUGGUUUGUUAAGUCAGAUGUGAAAGCCCGGGGCUCAACCUCGGAAUUGCAUUUGAAACUGGCAGACUAGAGUACUGUAGAGGGGGGUAGAAUUUCAGGUGUAGCGGUGAAAUGCGUAGAGAUCUGAAGGAAUACCGGUGGCGAAGGCGGCCCCCUGGACAGAUACUGACACUCAGAUGCGAAAGCGUGGGGAGCAAACAGGAUUAGACUACCGUGGU